GAGUUUGAUCCUGGCUCAGAUUGAACGCUGGCGGCAUGCCUUACACAUGCAAGUCGAACGGCAGCAUGAUCUAGCUUGCUAGAUUGAUGGCGAGUGGCGAACGGGUGAGUAAUACAUCGGAACGUGCCCUGUAGUGGGGGAUAACUAGUCGAAAGAUUAGCUAAUACCGCAUACGACCUGAGGGUGAAAGUGGGGGACCGCAAGGCCUCAUGCUAUAGGAGCGGCCGAUGUCUGAUUAGCUAGUUGGUGGG
rnacentral:rRNA from 1 species